rnacentral:rRNA from 1 species
UUAAGUUAGAAAGGGCGCACGGUGGAUGCCUUGACACUAGGAGUCGAUGAAGGACGGGACUAACGCCGAUAUGCUUCGGGGAGCUGUAAGUAAGCUUUGAUCCGAAGAUUUCCGAAUGGGGAAACCCACCAUACGUAAUGGUAUGGUAUCCUUAUCUGAAUACAUAGGGUAAGGAAGACAGACCCAGGGAACUGAAACAUCUAAGUACCUGGAGGAAGAGAAAGCAAAUGCGAUUUCCUGAGUAGCGGCGAGCGAAACGGAACAUAGCCCAAACCAAGAGGCUUGCCUCUUGGGGUUGUAGGACAUUCUAUACGGAGUUACAAAGGAACGAGGUAGACGAAGCGACCUGGAAAGGUCCGUCGUAGAGGGUAACAACCCCGUAGUCGAAACUUCGUUCUCUCUUGAAUGUAUCCUGAGUACGGCGGAACACGUGAAAUUCCGUCGGAAUCUGGGAGGACCAUCUCCCAAGGCUAAAUACUCCCUAGUGAUCGAUAGUGAACCAGUACCGUGAGGGAAAGGUGAAAAGCACCCCGGAAGGGGAGUGAAAGAGAUCCUGAAACCGUGUGCCUACAAAUAGUCAGAGCCCGUUAACGGGUGAUGGCGUGCCUUUUGUAGAAUGAACCGGCGAGUUACGAUCCCGUGCGAGGUUAAGCUGAAGAGGCGGAGCCGCAGCGAAAGCGAGUCUGAAUAGGGCGUUUAGUACGUGGUCGUAGACCCGAAACCAGGUGAUCUACCCAUGUCCAGGGUGAAGUUCAGGUAACACUGAAUGGAGGCCCGAACCCACGCACGUUGAAAAGUGCGGGGAUGAGGUGUGGGUAGCGGAGAAAUUCCAAUCGAACCUGGAGAUAGCUGGUUCUCCCCGAAAUAGCUUUAGGGCUAGCCUUAAGUGUAAGAGUCUUGGAGGUAGAGCACUGAUUGGACUAGGGGUCCUCAUCGGAUUACCGAAUUCAGUCAAACUCCGAAUGCCAAUGACUUAUCCUUAGGAGUCAGACUGCGAGUGAUAAGAUCCGUAGUCAAAAGGGAAACAGCCCAGACCGCCAGCUAAGGUCCCAAAGUGUGUAUUAAGUGGAAAAGGAUGUGGAGUUGCUUAGACAACUAGGAUGUUGGCUUAGAAGCAGCCACCACUUAAAGAGUGCGUAAUAGCUCACUAGUCGAGUGACUCUGCGCCGAAAAUGUACCGGGGCUAAAUACACCACCGAAGCUGCGGAUUGAUACCAAUGGUAUCAGUGGUAGGGGAGCGUUCUAAGGACAGUGAAGUCAGACCGGAAGGACUGGUGGAGUGCUUAGAAGUGAGAAUGCCGGUAUGAGUAGCGAAAGACGGGUGAGAAUCCCGUCCACCGAAUGCCUAAGGUUUCCUGAGGAAGGCUCGUCCGCUCAGGGUUAGUCAGGACCUAAGCCGAGGCCGACAGGCGUAGGCGAUGGACAACAGGUUGAUAUUCCUGUACCACCUCUUUAUCGUUUGAGCAAUGGAGGGACGCAGAAGGAUAGAAGAAGCGUGCGAUUGGUUGUGCACGUCCAAGCAGUUAGGCUGAUAAGUAGGCAAAUCCGCUUAUCGUGAAGGCUGAGCUGUGAUGGGGAAGCUCCUUAUGGAGCGAAGUCUUUGAUUCCCCGCUGCCAAGAAAAGCUUCUAGCGAGAUAAAAGGUGCCUGUACCGCAAACCGACACAGGUAGGCGAGGAGAGAAUCCUAAGGUGUGCGAGAGAACUCUGGUUAAGGAACUCGGCAAAAUGACCCCGUAACUUCGGGAGAAGGGGUGCUUUCUUAACGGAAAGCCGCAGUGAAUAGGCCCAAGCGACUGUUUAGCAAAAACACAGCUCUCUGCGAAGCCGUAAGGCGAAGUAUAGGGGGUGACACCUGCCCGGUGCUGGAAGGUUAAGGAGAGGGGUUAGCGUAAGCGAAGCUCUGAACUGAAGCCCCAGUAAACGGCGGCCGUAACUAUAACGGUCCUAAGGUAGCGAAAUUCCUUGUCGGGUAAGUUCCGACCCGCACGAAAGGUGUAACGAUUUGGGCACUGUCUCAACCAGAGACUCGGUGAAAUUAUAGUACCUGUGAAGAUGCAGGUUACCCGCGACAGGACGGAAAGACCCCGUGGAGCUUUACUGUAGCCUGAUAUUGAAUUUUGGUACAGUUUGUACAGGAUAGGCGGGAGCCUUUGAAACCGGAGCGCUAGCUUCGGUGGAGGCGCUGGUGGGAUACCGCCCUGACUGUAUUGAAAUUCUAACCUACGGGUCUUAUCGACCCGGGAGACAGUGUCAGGUGGGCAGUUUGACUGGGGCGGUCGCCUCCUAAAGUGUAACGGAGGCGCCCAAAGGUUCCCUCAGAAUGGUUGGAAAUCAUUCGUAGAGUGCAAAGGCAUAAGGGAGCUUGACUGCGAGACCUACAAGUCGAGCAGGGACGAAAGUCGGGCUUAGUGAUCCGGUGGUUCCGCAUGGAAGGGCCAUCGCUCAACGGAUAAAAGCUACCCCGGGGAUAACAGGCUUAUCUCCCCCAAGAGUCCACAUCGACGGGGAGGUUUGGCACCUCGAUGUCGGCUCAUCGCAUCCUGGGGCUGUAGUCGGUCCCAAGGGUUGGGCUGUUCGCCCAUUAAAGCGGUACGCGAGCUGGGUUCAGAACGUCGUGAGACAGUUCGGUCCCUAUCCGUCGUGGGCGUAGGAAAUUUGAGAGGAGCUGUCCUUAGUACGAGAGGACCGGGAUGGACGCACCGCUGGUGUACCAGUUGUUCUGCCAAGGGCAUAGCUGGGUAGCUAUGUGCGGAAGGGAUAAGUGCUGAAAGCAUCUAAGCAUGAAGCCCCCCUCAAGAUGAGAUUUCCCAUAGCGUAAGCUAGUAAGAUCCCUGAAAGAUGAUCAGGUUGAUAGGUUCGAGGUGGAAGCAUGGUGACAUGUGGAGCUGACGAAUACUAAUAGAUCGAGGACUUAACCAU